rnacentral:rRNA from 1 species
GACGAACGCUGGCGGCGUGCUUAACACAUGCAAGUCGAACGAUGAUCAGGAGCUUGCUCCUGUGAUUAGUGGCGAACGGGUGAGUAACACGUGAGUAACCUGCCCCUGACUCUGGGAUAAGCGUUGGAAACGACGUCUAAUACUGGAUAUGACGGCCGAUCGCAUGGUCUGGUCGUGGAAAGAAUUUUGGUUGGGGAUGGACUCGCGGCCUAUCAGGUAGUUGGUGAGGUAAUGGCUCACCAAGCCGACGACGGGUAGCCGGCCUGAGAGGGUGACCGGCCACACUGGGACUGAGACACGGCCCAGACUCCUACGGGAGGCAGCAGUGGGGAAUAUUGCACAAUGGGCGCAAGCCUGAUGCAGCAACGCCGCGUGAGGGAUGACGGCCUUCGGGUUGUAAACCUCUUUUAGUAGGGAAGAAGCGAAAGUGACGGUACCUGCAGAAAAAGCACCGGCUAACUACGUGCCAGCCGCCGCGGUAACAC